GAGUUUGAUCAUGGCUCAGGAUGAACGCUGGCGGCGUGCUUAACACAUGCAAGUCGAACGGACCUUCGGGUUAGUGGCGGACGGGUGAGUAACGCGUGAGAAUCUGCCCUCAGGAGGGGGAUAACAGCUGGAAACGGCUGCUAAUACCCCAUAUGCCGCGAGGUGAAAUGAAUUUCGCCUGAGGAUGAGCUCGCGUCUGAUUAGCUAGUUGGUGUAGGUAAUGGCUCACCAAGGCAUCGAUCAGUGGCUGGUCUGAGAGGAUGAUCAGCCACACUGGGACUGAGACACGGCCCAGACUCCUACGGGAGGCAGCAGUGGGGAAUUUUCCGCAAUGGGCGAAAGCCUGACGGAGCAACGCCGCGUGAGGGAUGAAGGCCUCUGGGCUGUAAACCUCUUUUAUCAAGGAAGAAGAUCUGACGGUACUUGAUGAAUAAGCCACGGCUAAUUCCGUGCCAGCAGCCGCGGUAAUACGGGAGUGGCAAGCGUUAUCCGGAAUUAUUGGGCGUAAAGCGUCCGCAGGCGGCCCUUCAAGUCUGCUGUUAAAAAGUGGAGCUUAACUCCAUCAUGGCAGUGGAAACUGAGGGGCUUGAGUGUGGUAGGGGCAGAGGGAAUUCCCGGUGUAGCGGUGAAAUGCGUAGAUAUCGGGAAGAACACCAGUGGCGAAGGCGCUCUGCUGGGCCAUCACUGACGCUCAUGGACGAAAGCCAGGGGAGCGAAAGGGAUUAGAUACCCCUGUAGUCCUGGCCGUAAACGAUGAACACUAGGUGUCGGGGGAAUCGACCCCCUCGGUGUCGUAGCCAACGCGUUAAGUGUUCCGCCUGGGGAGUACGCACGCAAGUGUGAAACUCAAAGGAAUUGACGGGGGCCCGCACAAGCGGUGGAGUAUGUGGUUUAAUUCGAUGCAACGCGAAGAACCUUACCAGGGUUUGACAUCCUGCGAAUCUCUUGGAACCGAGAGAGUGCCUUCGGGAACGCAGUGACAGGUGGUGCAUGGCUGUCGUCAGCUCGUGUCGUGAGAUGUUGGGUUAAGUCCCGCAACGAGCGCAACCCACGUCUUUAGUUGCCAGCAUUUAGUUGGGCACUCUAGAGAGACCGCCGGUGAUAAACCGGAGGAAGGUGUGGAUGACGUCAAGUCAUCAUGCCCCUUACAUCCUGGGCUACACACGUACUACAAUGCUACGGACAAAGGGCAGCAAGUUCGCGAGGACAAGCAAAUCCCAUAAACCGUGGCUCAGUUCAGAUCGUAGGCUGCAACUCGCCUACGUGAAGGAGGAAUCGCUAGUAAUCGCAGGUCAGCAUACUGCGGUGAAUACGU
rnacentral:rRNA from 1 species